rnacentral:rRNA from 1 species
AUUGAACGCUGGCGGCAUGCUUUACACAUGCAAGUCGAACGGCAGCACGGGUGCUUGCACCUGGUGGCGAGUGGCGAACGGGUGAGUAAUGCAUCGGAACGUGCCCAUGAGUGGGGGAUAGCCCGGCGAAAGCCGGAUUAAUACCGCAUACGCCCUUAGGGGGAAAGCGGGGGAUCUUCGGACCUCGCGCUAUUGGAGCGGCCGAUGUCGGAUUAGCUAGUAGGUGAGGUAAAGGCUCACCUAGGCGACGAUCCGUAGCUGGUCUGAGAGGAUGAUCAGCCACACUGGGACUGAGACACGGCCCAGACUCCUACGGGAGGCAGCAGUGGGGAAUUUUGGACAAUGGGCGCAAGCCUGAUCCAGCCAUGCCGCGUGAGUGAUGAAGGCCCUAGGGUUGUAAAGCUACUUUCAGCUGGGAAGAGUAA